UGAAACUCCGUCGUGCAGGCGAUAGAGCAUUGUAAUUAUUGCUCUUCAACGAGGAAUUCCUAGUAAGAGCAAGUCAUCAGCUUGCGUUGAUUACCUCCCUGCCCUUUGUACACAACGCAAAAAAAAGUUGGGUCCAGGCCGGAGAGUUCAACAGACUUCCGGCACGUUUUGGGAGGCAACAAUACCAUUUUGUUUUGAGGAAGGCCCCCCCCCUUGGUUCCCCCCCGCAAGGAACCGCAAGAUGUUCACCAUAAUACUUGGGGGUUUUGAUGAAUCAGAUCGGGAACGGGAACUUCUGUACGCAGGUACUUGCCACGUCUAAAAACAACACAAAAAGGCCUUUCCCAAAAUGGAUCCGGGGCUUUUUUUUUUUAUCAACAAAACUCAAGUCGGGCAACCAUAGCAUAAGAUCUUUUUUUGCCGUCUCCUUUUUCGCCAUUUGUCAACAAAACCCCGAGAAGUCCCCGGUCUGAAGCGGUAUCCCAAACCCCCCCCAAAAGUUUUCACCCCCGGUUACCCCCCCAUAAAUAGCCCCAAAGUUUACAGUGGUCCCCCCCACGGGGUAAGCCUCCCGUCGCCGAUGAGGCCCCUAACCCGGUACCGAAAAAAAAAAAUUCCAUUUCGACCCCUGCUGGUA
rnacentral:rRNA from 1 species